rnacentral:piRNA from 1 species
GAUUUUGGUGCACCCAUUACCUAAGAAGUGU